rnacentral:lncRNA from 1 species
GAGGCUAUCAUGUUUGGGGAACCUGCUUCUCCCACUACUAAAUUCUCUUCAAUAUUGUUGCCUUUGAUUAUACUUUCAUUGAAGACUAUGAUGGAGAGGUUGCAGCUUGGUGAUCAUCUCCAAGAUCGAUUUGUUGCUGCAUGAUCAGUGAAUAGAUAUUACUCUUUUGAGUCUCCUUUUUUGCUCUCACUCCUUAAUGG